rnacentral:rRNA from 1 species
UACGUAGGGUGCGAGCGUUAAUCGGAAUUACUGGGCGUAAAGCGUGCGCAGGCGGUUUUGUAAGCCGGAUGUGAAAUCCCCGGGCUAAACCUGGGAAUGGCAUUCGGGACUGCAAGGCUGGAGUGCGGCAGAGGAGACUGGAAUUCCUGGUGUAGCAGUGAAAUGCGUAGAUAUCAGGAGGAACACCGAUGGCGAAGGCAGGUCUCUGGGCUGACACUGACGCUCAUGCACGAAAGCGUGGGGAGCAAACAGG